GAUCACAUCUGCAUCACGUGACUGAGCCAUUGCUUGAUUUGGCGCUCAAAUUCAAUUCAAACCGUUUCUCAGUUGUGAACCCGUCUUUUCUUCUUUUUGUGUGUGUGUAUUCGAGCAUUAAAGCUUGAAAUUGAAUUGAAAAUAUAUAAGUGAGUGUCCUUAAGAAGAUUAAGAAGAUGUCCGAUGUGACAACAGAGCUGGAAGAUCUGAUUUAAAGCAGCAAUCGAAAUCACAACGCUGGUUGAUGGCUGAUGUCGUUUGAUUUGGAUAUUUACGGUUAGAUGGGAGAUGCAUGACAUGCAAAAAAUUCUCUUCUGGAAGAUGGRUUGACAGUCACAGAUGAGUUUUACUUAAUUUGUAGCAUUCGAAUGUAGAAUUCAUUAUCUGAUACAAUUUUUGUAAGACUUGUAACUUGUAGAUUUCCAGUUGUAAAAUUCAYGUCGAUCAACAUUUUUAUACUGUAUUAGUUUCCAUAUCAAAUAAUCCAUUUUCAAGUUAUCUGGCAUAAAUCAAAGCACUGCAAUGAUUUUUGAAAUUAGUUACAGAGAAUAAAUUGUUUGACCUAA